UACGAAGGAUCCAAGCGUUGUCCGGAUUUACUGGGUUUAAAGGGAGCGUAGGCGGAUCUUUAAGUCAGUGGUGAAAGCUCCCAGCUUAACUGGGAAACUGCCAUUGAAACUGAAGAUCUCGAGUAUGGUUGAGGUUACUGGAAUGUUGCAUGUAGCGGUGAAAUGCUUAGAUAUGCAACAGAACACCAAUUGCGAAGGCAGGUAACUAAGCCAUAACUGACGCUGAGGCUCGAAAGCGUGGGGAGCAAACAGG
rnacentral:rRNA from 1 species